UCUUCCUGGCAAAAAGCUGUAUUGUUUCUGCUUGGUCCGGGCUUGGGGGGGCGGGGCUCCAGGGUGGUCAAAAACUGCCUAGUGCUGCAGGGAGAGCCUCAGCCAGAGGCCCUGACACCAGGGGUGGGGUGCCAGAGGGGCCCCUCAAAGCUUGCGGGGUUCUGGAGGCUCCUAACCGUGCUGGAGGUGGGCGUUUGGAAGAGACGUCCGCCGGCCCAGCCUGAGGCUGCCAGCCCGCCUGCUGAGUCAGGUGGUCGCCAUCUCCUGGAUGAGCUUCACCUGCCGACCCAGGCGCGGUUCUGCAGGAAGCCGAGCGGGCGCCUACGCGGGCGGAAGCCAAACAUAAAGGGCGGGAUUGAGGGUCGGCCCCGGGCCUCUGGCGGCGGGUAUGGCUUCCCGGGCUUCAUGACCCUGGACUUGAGACGGCUUCUGCUUCUGCUCGUCCGGGCCGCGGCCGGCCGCCGCGCGGGUUCUGCGUCUGGGAGAGAAGUCGUCUGGCUUCGCCUCGGCCUGCGGAUGCUCAUCCUGGCGGUGGAAAGAGAAGCCCGAGAGAGUCCUCUCAUUGGUGGCUAUCCAUGGCCCACUCCAUCUGAACGGAGCACACCACCUUCAACGUGGGCAUGAGGCCAACAGAGCAGAUGGCUGUGAACCUUGGCAUGCCAGGAGACCAUUAGGUUCAUCAGUGUGAGC
rnacentral:lncRNA from 1 species